GACAGAGGUCUCGAGCGUUAGGCGGAAUCACUGGGCUUAAAGCGUGUGUAGGCGGACUUGUAAGUCCCUUGUGAAAUCCCACGGCUUAACCGUGGAACUGCUGGGUAUACUGGUUGUCUUGAGCCACUUAGGGGCGAGCGGAACAAAUGGUGGAGCGGUGAAAUGCGUAGAUAUCAUUUGGAACGCCAAUGGUGAAGACAGCUCGCUGGGAGUGUGCUGACGCUGAGACACGAAAGCCAGGGUAGCGAACGGG
rnacentral:rRNA from 1 species